rnacentral:rRNA from 1 species
GUCGUAACAAGGUCUCCGUUGGUGAACCAGCGGAGGGAUCAUUACCGAGUUUUCAACUCCCUAACCCUUCUGUGAACCUACCUAUCGUUGCUUCGGCGGACUCGCCCCAGCCCGGACGCGGACUGGACCAGCGGCCCGCCGGGGACCUCAAACUCUUGUAUUCCAGCAUCUUCUGAAUACGCCGCAAGGCAAAACAAAUGAAUUAAAACUUUCAACAACGGAUCUCUUGGCUCUGGCAUCGAUGAAGAACGCAGCGAAACGCGAUAAGUAAUGUGAAUUGCAGAAUCCAGUGAAUCAUCGAAUCUUUGAACGCACAUUGCGCCCGCCAGCAUUCUGGCGGGCAUGCCUGUUCGAGCGUCAUUUCAACCCUCGACCUCCCCUUGGGGGGGUCGGCGUUGGGGACCGGCAGCACACCGCCGGCCCUGAAAUGGAGUGGCGGCCCGUCCGCGGCGACCUCUGCGCAGUAAUACAGCUCGCACCGGAACCCCGACGCGGCCACGCCGUAAAACACCCAACUUCUGAACGUUGACCUCGAAUCAGGUAGGACUACCCGCUGAACUUAAGCAUAUCA